rfam:Drosophila virilis strain TSC#15010-1051.87 Ctg01_16334, whole genome shotgun sequence.
GCAAAUUGAGGUAGUAGGUUGUAUAGUAGUAUUUAUAGAGCAUACUAUACAGCGUGCUAGCUUUCUUUGC